rnacentral:rRNA from 1 species
AUUGAACGCUGGCGGCAGGCCUAACACAUGCAAGUCGAACGAGUGGCGGACGGGUGAGUAAUGUCUGGGAAUCUGCCCGAUGGAGGGGGAUAACUACUGGAAACGGUAGCUAAUACCGCAUACCAUCGGAUGUGCCCAGAUGGGAUUAGCUAGUAGGUGAGGUAACGGCUCACCUAGGCGACGAUCCCUAGCUGGUCUGAGAGGAUGAUCAGCCAAACUGGAACUGAGACACGGUCUAGAAUCCUACGGGAGGCAGAAGUGGGGAAUAUUGCACAAUGGGCGCAAGCCUGAUGCAGCCAUGCCGCGUGUAUGAAGAAGGCCUUAGGGUUGUAAAGUACUUUCAGCGGGGAGGCGUUACCCGCAGAAGAAGCACCGGCUAACUCCGUGCCAGCAGCCGCGGUAAUUC